GAUGAAGAACGCAGCGAAAUGCGAUAAGUAAUGUGAAUUGCAGAAUUCCGUGAAUCAUCGAAUCUUUGAACGCACAUUGCGCCCCCUGGCAUUCCGGGGGGCAUGCCUGUCCGAGCGUCAUUUCUGCCCUCCAGCCCGGCUGGGUGUUGGGCGCUGUCCCCCCGGGGACACGCCCCAAAGGCAGUGGCGGCGCCGCGUCGGGUCCUCGAGCGUAUGGGGCUUUGUCACCCGCUCGGGACGGACUCGUCGGCGCUGGUCUUCCUCCAGGCGACCCUUCGGGGCUCGUCUUCCUUCGGUUGACCUCGGAUCAGGUAGGGUUACCCGCUGAAUUUAAGCAUAUCAAUAAGCGGAGGA
rnacentral:misc_RNA from 1 species